rnacentral:rRNA from 1 species
AACCUCCGCAAUGUGAGAAAUCGCGACGGGGGGAUCCCAAGUGCCAUUCUUAACGGGAUGGCUUUUCAUUAGUGUAAAGAGCUUUUGGAAUAAGGGUUGGGCAAGACCGGUGCCAGCCGCCGCGGUAACACCGGCAGCUCUAGUGGUAGCAGUUUUUAUUGGGCCUAAAGCGUCCGUAGCCGGUUUAAUAAGUCUCUGGUGAAAUCCUGUAGCUUAACUGUGGGAAUUGCUGGAGAUACUAUUAGACUUGAGACCGGGAGAGGUUAGAGGUACUCUCAGGGUAGAGGUGAAAUUCUGUAAUCCUGGGAGGACCGCCUGUUGCGAAGGCGUCUAACUGGAACGGUUCUGACGGUGAGGGACGAAAGUUGGGGCGCGAACCGGAUUAGAUACCCGGGUAGUCCUAAACCGUAACGAUGCGGACUUGGUGUUGGGGUGGCUUUGAGCUGCUCCAGUGCCGAGGGGAAGCUGUUAAGUCCGCCGCCUGGGAGGUACGGUCGCAAGACUGAAACUUAAAGGAAUU